GAUGAACGCUGGCGGCGUGCCUAAUACAUGCAAGUCGAGCGAACGGACGAGAAGCUUGCUUCUCUGAUGUUAGCGGCGGACGGGUGAGUAACACGUGGAUAACCUACCUAUAAGACUGGGAUAACUUCGGGAAACCGUAGCUAAUACCGGAUAAUAUUUUGAACCGCAUGGUUCAAAAGUGAAAGACGGUCUUGCUGUCACUUAUAGAUGGAUCCGCGCUGCAUUAGCUAGUUGGUAAGGUAACGGCUUACCAAGGCAACGAUGCAUAGCCGACCUGAGAGGGUGAUCGGCCACACUGGAACUGAGACACGGUCCAGACUCCUACGGGAGGCGGCAGUAGGGAAUCUUCCGCGAUGGGCGAAAGCCUGACGGAGCAACGCCGCGUGAGUGAUGAAGGUCUUCGGAUCGUAAAACUCUGUUAUUAGGGAAGAACAUAUGUGUAAGUAACUGUGCACAUCUUGACGGUACCUAAUCAGAAAGCCACGGCUAACUACGUG
rnacentral:rRNA from 1 species